CCUAGCGAGAGAGAAAACACUUCUCUAUUAUGCCAUUCCAGACUCUGUCUACGAAGCAAAGUGAAGUAGCAGAGUCUGGUAUUACCAGGCUAAAUAAUCGCACCCACAGUUGUCUCCUUCUCACCAAGCUUUUUGCUGAUGGUCAUGUAGCCGAUUCCAGCCUUGUCCAGAUCUACAAUCUUGUCUCUGACAUCCUUUGACAGCUCUUUGGUCUUGUCCAUGGUGGUGGGAGAGGUUGGAAUGGAACAAACCGAUUGCAUGGACAGGUGUCUUAUACACCCAACAAGCUGACAUUAGGAGUAACUUAAAGUGGCAGGACUAAUCGUUUAACAUGGGCACAUAACCAGUCUUUGGGAGCCAGAACUCUUGCUGGAUGGUAGGGGAUCAAAUACUUAUUUCACUCACUGAAAUACAAAAUGGGUUCUAACCUUUAUAUAAUGUUUUUUCCAGAUUUUUUUGGUUGGUGUUCUGUCUCUAUCCAUUAAAAUAAACUUACAGACCCCUAAUUUCUUUGUAAUUGGGCAAACUCACAAAAUCAGCAGGGGAUCAAAUAAAUAUUUUCCCCACUGUAGGACAUUAGAAGAGCAACACCUCUUAAACCGACCAGAAAUCAGUCCUCAGGCCUUUCUCUCUCUGGCUAUCCCACAGCACUGGUCAUCUAGUUCUGCCCUUAGUUUGUCCUAAGUGAAUCGGACCAGAAGUAUUAGCUUGCAGAAUCACAUCUCACCCCGUCCUGUUCUGGAAUGAGCUGAGUGGUCCACACACAUACACCCCUGUAGCAUUAAUACCCCUCUGUGGAGGCCUCUGCUCUCCCAACCACACCCUGUUUUUUCUGCCUCAUAUUUUUUAAUGACAAAAUGUUUUUGUGAAACAAUCGGGGUUGACUUUUCUCUCAAUCCGGGGUAUAGUGUUGGGAGCUUACGCGGUUCCGGUACCCAGCAUUUCAGACGGCUAACAAAACAGGUCCACUUUACUUCUGCUUCGGUGACUGCCUGCAAUGCUUUUCACCCACAGGAAAAAGACCAGAGGGGCAGAGAGCACGCGGCGGGUGAAUGAAUGAGCCAGGUCGGAUGCCUAUUCAAACCCAGUAAGACUCAUAGUAUUUUACAAUGGGCAUGACUUCAUCAGAGGCCUCUGAAGCUGAGGUGCCAGUGAAUCCAUGCAGCUGUUGGGGCCACAUCAAAGAACGGGAGAAAUGUCCAUAAUUCUCAAAUCCCCAUUUAUGUAUAGGGUUACAUUUGAGUUAAAAGCAGAACUUUUGGGCUGUUUGAUGUGUUCCUGAUAUGUUCAACAGACAGAGCGUCUGGAGAACUCCACUCCGUAUUUGACAUCUGCCGAGCAGCCGCCCCAUUUCCAGCCCUCUUCCUGGUCAUGGUAGCCCUGCUUUUCUCUGUCACAGCCGCAGUGGCUCAGAU